UGGGAGGGAGAUUCACAAAUUUAACUGAAGCAUUACUUUGAUUGUUCCUCCCUAGAAAAUGCUUCUUUUUUUUUUACCACAGGAUAAACUGAGUGAAAUCUUGAUGGACAAAUAUGGAGCAUACAGUU